AAGUCGUAACAAGGUUUCCGUAGGUGAACCUGCGGAAGGAUCAUUAACACGUAUCCAACGUUAAAACCCCCCGUGAACCUUUAUUGUGGCACGCCUAUCCGUUAGAAAGUGGCAAUCCCUGGUAAAUCAUCGCCGAACAGUUUUGAUUCAGGGCCGCACAAUUAAGCGCAGGCCCGUUUUCAUGCAAAGGUGAUUAGGGGGCCGAGGGCCCAUUGACCCGGUCGCCGGCCGUGUUGGCCUCUAGCGAUCGUGAUUGCGCCACCCGUACAGAGCUAGUGACACUUUCAGACACUAACAAGCAGAGGGAUGCCAGGCCACUUGCUCGCGCAGUUGUCCUACCUAUCUUGGUUCUC
rnacentral:misc_RNA from 1 species